CUAUGAUGAAAUUACACUUGGUCACGAUGAACAAGCUCUAUUAAGCAAUACUUUUGAUAUGAACAAUGAUGAAUAACUGAUUUCAAGUAAAGUAAAAAUGUGUCUAGGAACUCAUUGUUUAGGGCCCAACACACCCACAUGGGUGUGGCAGAUUUAGCCUAUGCUCAGGGUGAAGGUGGGGUCAGACCCCACAUGUAGUAAUAAACAAG